rnacentral:rRNA from 1 species
CAGUGAAAUGCGUAGAGAUCGGGAGGAACAUCUGUGGCGAAAGGCGGCCAUCUCCGAAAGUCUCUGACACUGAGGCACGAAAGCGUGGGGAGCAAACAGGAUUAGAUACCCUGGUAGUCCACGCCCUAAACGAUGCGAACUGGAUGUUGGGUGCAACUUGGCACGCAGUAUCGAAGCUAACGCGUUAAGUUCGCCACCAGGGGG